rnacentral:rRNA from 1 species
CUACGGGGGGCUCCAGUGGGGAAUAUUGGGCAAUGGGCGCAAGCCUGACCCAGCAACGCCGCGUGAAGGAUGAAGGUUUUCGGAUUGUAAACUUCUUUUGUCAGGGAAGAUAAUGACGGUACCUGACGAAUAAGCCACGGCUAACUACGUGCCAGCAGCCGCGGUAAUACGUAGGUGGCAAGCGUUGUCCGGAUUUACUGGGUGUAAAGGGCGUGUAGGCGGGACUGCAAGUCAGAUGUGAAAACUAUGGGCUCAACCCAUAGCCUGCAUUUGAAACUGUAGUUCUUGAGUGAUGGAGAGGCAGGCGGAAUUCCUAGUGUAGCGGUGAAAUGCGUAGAUAUUAGGAGGAACACCAGUGGCGAAGGCGGCCUGCUGGACAUUAACUGACGCUGAGGCGCGAAAGCGUGGGGAGCAAACAGGAUUAGAUACCCGCGUAGUC